AUACGUAGGUGGCAAGCGUUGUCCGGAAUUAUUGGGCGUAAAGCGCGCGCAGGUGGUUCCUUAAGUCUGAUGUGAAAGCCCCCGGCUCAACCGGGGAGGGUCAUUGGAAACUGGGGAACUUGAGUGCAGAAGAGGAUAGUGGAAUUCCAAGUGUAGCGGUGAAAUGCGUAGAGAUUUGGAGGAACACCAGUGGCGAAGGCGACGGUCGGGUCUGUAACUGACACUGAGGCGCGAAAGCGUGGGGAGCAAACAGGAUUAGAUACCCUGGUAGUCCACGCCGUAAACGAUGAGUGCUAAGUGUUGGGGGGUUUCCGCCCCUCAGUGCUGCAGCUAACGCAUUAAGCACUCCGCCUGGGGAGUACGGUCGCAAGACUGAAACUCAAAGGAAUUGACGGGG
rnacentral:rRNA from 1 species